rnacentral:lncRNA from 1 species
UUUCUUUCCCACCGGCAGUGUAUGAGAGUUCCUUUUUCUCACAUCCUUACCAGCAUUUUCUUUUUUUUUUUCUUAAAAGAAGAAGAAAAAGAAGAAGAAGAAAAGAAAUCCUAGCCUAUGCUAUAUUUGUUGGGUCCUGUAAAAUGUAUUCCCCAUGGGUGAGGCCAGGGAUGGCUCAGUAUGAUCUCAGAACUCGUCAGCCUAAGAACGCAGCCAAUGGCAGAAAGCCCGAAAGGGACUCAGCAGUCCAAAACCGAAAAAAAAGACUCAGUGAUCUGAAAGGCAGCGAGAAGAAACCGCUGAAGGCUUAAAGCCGAAACACACUACUCUUUUAGGAGUGCAGCAGCUUCAGCAUGCCCUUUCAUAGCAGGUGCAAAGCUUGUCAGAACCCCAAGUACAAAGGAGUCACCAAAUCUACAAGUGAAAUCACUGCAUGACCAUUCUGAAAGGACACACAAGAAAGUGGAAACAGCAUCUACUUUGAGGACUGGAUGACACUAGAGUAAGCUGAGGGUAGAAGCAAACUGUGUGCACACACACUUGUAUGUGUGCAGAUAGAUACACUUUUGCAUUUCACUGGUUCUGUUUUACUGUUUAUGUCUUAUCUAUAUAGAAGUGAUGGUUACUAAGAAUGGUUCCUAUUGAUCAAGGGUUCACAGUUCCUCUACAUUUUGUAACUGGGGCUAGAUGGUUAUAAACUACUGUUUACCAUUCUAGGAGAAACAUGAGACAUAACUGCUCAGUAGCUGAACAGCAAACACCUUCCACCCUGCCUCCAUGAACAUGUCUAGAAGAUGCCAUCAUUCCUCUUUCUAAGUAUCCCCAGACUGUGCUUCUCAUAGUAGCAUGACUCAGCACUUACAGGUAUUUCAGUUUUGUGACUGAAUAACACAGCAAGUCUCAAGAAGAAAAAAUAUGGGGCAGGAAAGGUGCUUGCUGCCAAGUUGGAAAACCUGAUCCCAGAGCCCCACAUGGUGGAGAAAGAGACCUGACCCUGGCAAGUUGUCCUCUGACCUCUACAUGCUCCUGCCCCAGUCUUGCAAAAUUAAUAAAAUGCAAUUAAAA